rnacentral:tRNA from 1 species
GCGCAGGGCGUGUCGCGCCGGGUGGUCGACGCCGCCUUCGCCGGCGUGGCCGAGGACGCCGCGGUGCUGGCGUUCGACCGUCGCCAGCGCG